rnacentral:tRNA from 1 species
GCCUGGGUGGCUCAGUCGGUUGAGCGUCCGACUUCGGCUCAGGUCAUGAUCUCACAGUCUGUGGGUUCAAGCCCCGCGUCAGGCU